rfam:Myotis davidii contig141697, whole genome shotgun sequence.
GUCCGGGUGGUUCAGUGGGUUAGAGCUUCCUCCCCGACGCCAAAAGGUUGCAGGUUUGAUUCCUGCUCAGGGCA